AUGGCCUUGCAAAAAAUGUUAUGCGUACCAUACGUUAUACAGCGGAGACAUCUUAUCAGCAGGAAUUAUGCUCUAAUAAGGACUGCUGCUAUGUGCCUGCGUGUCUUGGAUUUGAAUGACAGAUCGAUGCUGAACUUACCAAAUUCUAUCUGUCAGUUGAGGCAUUUGGGAUAUCUUAAUUUAUCAGGCUGCUCUGGACUAGUUAUUAUACCGGACUCACUUGGAGAUCUACUAAAUUUGUUGUAUAUUAAUUUGUCAGGCUGCUCUGUACUAAUACAUCUACCUGAAUCAUUUGGGAAGCUAAUAAGUUUGGCGUAUAUCGACUUAUCGGGUUGCUCUGGACUAGUAAAUCUAUCGGAAUCAUUUGGGAAGCUGACAAAUUUGUUGCAUAUUGACUUAUCAAGAUGCUAUGGACUUGUAAAUUUGCCAGAUUCAUUUGGGAAGCUGACUAGUUUGAAGCAUACCGAUUUAUCAGGCUGCUCUGGAUUAGAAAAACUGCCACAAUCAUUAUGUAAGCUAAUAAAUUUGGUGCACAUCAACUUAUCAUGGUGCUCUGGAUUAGUUAGUCUGCCUCUCUCGUUUGGGAAGCUAAUAUGUUUGCUGCACAUGAACCUAUCAGGCUGCUCUGGAUUGGUAAACUUACCGGAAUCAAUUGGCAAUCUCAAAAUUUUGGUCCACAUCAACUUGUCAGGUUGCUGCGGGCUAUUAAAUCUACCUGAGUCAUUUGGGAAUUUAAUAAAUUUGUUGCACAUUGACUUAUCAUGUUGCCAUGGACUAGGUAACCUGCCAGAAUCAUUUGGGAAGCUAGAGAAUUUGGCACACCUAGAUUUAUCAUUCUGGUCUUGUUUUGAAGGGGUCGAGAAAGCUCUUGGCGGGCUUACCAAUCUCCAGCACUUGAACUUGUCAAACCGUUGCUGUUAUCUUGCUCAACAGCAGUCGUGUCUCGAAGGGCUAAAAGAUGUUUUGGGCCAGCUCACCAAAAUAAAGUAUUUGAACCUAUCCAUGUUCCUGAAUCCUAUCUUUUACUCACAGUCAGUAGAGCGAACUCAUGAAUUUAUGGAAUGCAUCAGUGGCUUUUCCAGUUUGGAGCAUUUGGAUUUAUCUCAUAAUAGAUUUCUCCGUGAUCUUCCUGAAAGUUUAGGUGAACUCAACAAUCUGCAAACACUGGACCUCUCAGGUUGCAUUAGACUGAAGAGCAUACCCAAAAGGAUAGGUGAAAUCAGGUCUCUUAAGUCAAUAAAUGUGAGGAACUGCCGCAGUUUGAAAAGUUGUCAGCUUGUGGUUAAAGCUGAUAAUGGAGAAUAUAAUAUCAGAAACAUUGCUCAGCUCGAGGAUGCAAACUUGGAAGAGCUUGAGAUAAGCUGUCUUGAAAACGUGAAGACUAGAAAAGAUGCGGGGCAAAUAAGAAUGGCACUGGAAGGAAGGACUCAAAAGUUGAAACUUUGCUGGACUGUGGGCUCCCAAGUAUCCAUGGAGGACAAUACCCUGUUAGGAAAAUUAUUGCCAGCACAUCUGCAGUGCCUUGAGCUACAUGGUUAUAGUGACGAGACCCGCCUUUCAGCCUGGUUGACAGCAACCAUAUCUUAUCAUUUUGAUACUCUUGUAGAGGUUACCAUUGAGGACUUCCCGAGGUGCAGCCAGCCACCACCACUAUUAUUGUUAUAUAACCUCCGACGAGCAGUUUUCAGAAGGAUGGCUAGCAUCACAAGAUUUGACAUCAAUGACCUCACCGGUGAAUACCGAACAACACUCAAUCAACUCCCCAAGUUGACCCUAGAGUUGGAUGAUAUGGAAAGCCUGGAAGAGUUCAAGACAACAUACGACAGAAAUGGUAAGGAGUGUAUGCUCCCGGCCAUUGGUGAACUGGUGAUUACGAAAUGUAACAAGGUGUGCUUCAUACCUUUCACGCCUAGAGCUUGGAAAUUGGUGAUCUCAGAGUGCAGCAAACUAAUGGUCCAUUCCAGAGGAGGGCACCCUUGUACCUCUGUUUCAGUAAAUGAACUGGUGGUGAAGAACUGCAAGAAAACUCUAUAUAACUGGCAUUUGCUUCACAGCCUCCCAGGCCUCCGUAGUUUAACUGUCAAAGAUUGCGACAAUCUGUGGACUAUACCAGAUACUAUUGAGGCCCUAUCCUCCCUCCAAUCUCUAUGCUUGUCCAAUUGCCGGGUGGACAAAGUACAACACUUGGCUGACCUCACCUGUCUCCGGGAACUGAAGAUUGUGUCCUGCGAAGGGAUCGAUGGGUUCAUGCAGAGUUUGCAAGGACUCACCUCCCAUGGGUCGAUGCAUCUUAGUGACUGCGACAGUAUCACAUCACUGCCGGAAUGGUUAGGAGAUCUCACCAAUCUUGAGAAGCUUGCCAUCCACAGAUGCCCUGCCAUGGAAUCUUUGCCGGGCAGCAUAAAUAAACUAACCAACCUGAAGGAUCUGCGUAUUUUGGAUUGUCCAAAAUUGAAGAGCUGGUGUGAAAGGAGGGAGAACAAGAAAAGAAUGGCUCACAUCCGACCAGACUAUGAAGAACAAGGUACUAGCAGGCCAGGCAGCAACGACGAGGGCAAUGUGGAGGGUGAAUUGGAGAAGGACUGGCCGGACGUCGUGGAGGAGGAGGACUGGCCGGACGUCGUGGAGGACUGGUCGGACGUUGUGGAGGAGGAGGAGCCAGAGGCAGUAUCGACGGAUGCAGUGGAGAAUUCAGUGAUGACAGACAACACAGGUGUUGUAGAGGAGGUGACGAGGGAUGUGGACGCAGCAGUGGCAGCUGAUGUAUGCUUGGAGUUGCGAUUGGGACUGCCCAUAAAUGAAGAAGCGGUCCGUAUCGAAGAAGAAGAAGAUGAAAUUUCUCUACGACUGUAUUUAUAA
rnacentral:rRNA from 1 species